UACGUAGGUGGCGAGCGUUGUCCGGAUUUACUGGGCGUAAAGAGCGCGCAGGCGGCUGGUCAAGUCCGAUGUGAAAGCUCCCGGCUUAACUGGGAAAUUGCAUCGGAAACUGAUCGGCUGGAAGGUGGGAGAGGGUAGCGGAAUUCCCGGUGUAGUGGUGAAAUGCGUAGAUAUCGGGAGGAACACCAGUGGCGAAGGCGGCUACCUGGCACAUAACUGACGCUGAUACGCGAAAGCGUGGGGAGCGAACCGG
rnacentral:rRNA from 1 species